UACGUAGGGUGCGAGCGUUGUCCGGAAUUACUGGGCGUAAAGAGCUCGUAGGUGGUUUGUCGCGUUGUUCGUGAAAACUCACAGCUCAACUGUGGGCGUGCGGGCGAUACGGGCAGACUGGAGUACUGCAGGGGAGACUGGAAUUCCUGGUGUAGCGGUGGAAUGCGCAGAUAUCAGGAGGAACACCGGUGGCGAAGGCGGUACUCUGGGCCGGAACUGACGCUGAGGAGCGAAAGCGUGGGGAGCAAACAGG
rnacentral:rRNA from 1 species